AAAACUUUCAACAACGGAUCUCUUGGUUCUGGCAUCGAUGAAAGAACGCAGCGAAAAUGCGAUAAGUAAUGUGAAUUGCAGAAUUCAGUGAAUCAUCGAAUCUUUGAACGCACAUUGCGCCCUCUGGUAUUCCGGAGGGCAUGCCUGUUCGAGCGUCAUUUC
rnacentral:rRNA from 1 species